rnacentral:rRNA from 1 species
UACGAAGGGGGCUAGCGUUGCUCGGAAUUACUGGGCGUAAAGCGCACGUAGGCGGAUUGUUAAGUCGGGGGUGAAAUCCUGGAGCUCAACUCCAGAACUGCCUUCGAUACUGGCGAUCUCGAGUUCGGGAGAGGUGAGUGGAACUGCGAGUGUAGAGGUGAAAUUCGUAGAUAUUCGCAAGAACACCAGUGGCGAAGGCGGCUCACUGCCCGAUACCUGACGCUGAGGUG